rnacentral:rRNA from 1 species
UCCGUAGGUGAACCUGAACCUGAACCUCGGAGGGAUCAUUACCGAGUUUACAACUCCCAAACCCCUGUGAACAUACCUAUACGUUGCCUCGGCGGAUCAGCCCGCGCCCCGUAAAACGGGACGGCCCGCCCGAGGACCCCUAAACUCUGUUUUUAGUGGAACUUCUGAGUAAAACAAACAAAUAAAUCAAAACUUUCAACAACGGAUCUCUUGGUUCUGGCAUCGAUGAAGAACGCAGCAAAAUGCGAUAAGUAAUGUGAAUUGCAGAAUUCAGUGAAUCAUCGAAUCUUUGAACGCACAUUGCGCCCGCCAGUAUUCUGGCGGGCAUGCCUGUUCGAGCGUCAUUUCAACCCUCAAGCUCAGCUUGGUGUUGGGACUCGCGGUAACCCGCGUUCCCCAAAUCGAUUGGCGGUCACGUCGAGCUUCCAUAGCGUAGUAAUCAUACACCUCGUUACUGGUAAUCGUCGCGGCCACGCCGUUAAACCCCAACUUCUGAAUGUU